GGAACAAAGACCUUAUUUCAUAUGUCCUCAUAGGCUUGUGUUCCUCCCUCUUUGUAAUUCCACAUUUGUCCCUUCUGAAGUUGUAUACUUAAUAAAAGUGAAAGCACUUCCUGGAUAAAUGUUCUAAGCCUUAUCUUCUUGGAUAAGACAUUUUAUGUAAGGGUUUGUCAGUAGCCCUAAUUGCUUGGUAGAUCCUCCAAACAAAUCUCAAGAAUCAUUUAUAGGAGAAAGUAGGGUUGUCAAAUUUAAGUUAAAUCAUUUAAUUCUGAUUAAGA
ensembl:misc_RNA 7SK 7SK RNA